rnacentral:rRNA from 1 species
AGUGAACGCUGGCGGUAGGCCUAACACAUGCAAGUCGAACAGCAGCACAGUAAGAGCUUGCUCUUACGGGUGGCGAGUGGCGGACGGGUGAGGAAUACAUCGGAAUCUACUUUUUCGUGGGGGAUAACGUAGGGAAACUUACGCUAAUACCGCAUACGACCUACGGGUGAAAGCAGGGGAUCUUCGGACCUUGCGCGAUUGAAUGAGCCGAUGUCGGAUUAGCUAGUUGGCGGGGUAAAGGCCCACCAGGGCGACGAUCCGUAGCUGGUCUGAGAGGAUGAUCAGCCACACUGGAACUGAGACACGGUCCAGACUCCUACGGGAGGCAGCAGUGGGGAAUAUUGGACAAUGGGCGCAAGCCUGAUCCAGCCAUACCGCGUGGGUGAAGAAGGCCUUCGGGUUGUAAAGCCCUUUUGUUGGGAAAGAAAAGCAGCAGGUUAAUACCCCGCUGUUCUGACGGUACCCAAAGAAUAAGCACCGGCUAACUUCGUG